GACGAACGCUGGCGGCGUGCUUAACACAUGCAAGUCGAACGGAAAGGCCCUGCUUUUGUGGGGUGCUCGAGUGGCGAACGGGUGAGUAACACGUGAGUAACCUGCCCUUGACUUUGGGAUAACUUCAGGAAACUGGGGCUAAUACCGGAUAGGAGCUCCUGCUGCAUGGUGGGGGUUGGAAAGUUUCGGCGGUUGGGGAUGGACUCGCGGCUUAUCAGCUUGUUGGUGGGGUAGUGGCUUACCAAGGCUUUGACGGGUAGCCGGCCUGAGAGGGUGACCGGCCACAUUGGGACUGAGAUACGGCCCAGACUCCUACGGGAGGCAGCAGUGGGGAAUAUUGCACAAUGGGCGGAAGCCUGAUGCAGCAACGCCGCGUGCGGGGUGACGGCCUUCGGGUUGUAACCGCUUUCGCCUGUGACGAAGCGUGAGUGACGGUAAUGGGUAAAGAAGCACCGGCUAACUACGUG
rnacentral:rRNA from 1 species